UUGUACACACCGCCCGUCACACCAUGGAAGUGAGCCACGCCCGAAGUCAUUACUCUAACCCGUAAGGGGGGAGGGUGCCGAAGGCGGGGUUGAUGACUGGGGUGAAGUCGUAACAAGGUAGCCGUACCGGAAGGUGUGGCUGGAUCACCUCCUUUUAGGGAGACCUACUUUUGAGUUGAGUGUUGAAUCCAACAAAUAUAGCACCCUCAAAAGUCAUCCCAGGUCGUACUAGGAAAAAAGAGACUUUCAAACGUAUUUUAAAGUUCGGAAAAAGGGCUAUUAGCUCAGGUGGUUAGAGCGCACCCCUGAUAAGGGUGAGGUCCCUGGUUCAAGUCCAGGAUGGCCCACCUAAACCAAUGUGGGGGUAUAGCUCAGUUGGUAGAGCGCUGCCUUUGCAAGGCAGAUGUCAGCGGUUCGAGUCCGCUUACCUCCACUGAAAAUAUUCCUAGAACAAAUCAGCACUACAGCUUUCCGACAAGAAAGAGUAAAUGCUGGGAAAAGUUCCAGCCAGAACCUUGAAAACUGCAUAGAAGAAUCAAAAGGGAUCAAAUUAAUGAAACCAGAACCGGGAAUAAGAAACCCGGAAAAGUUCUGGUGUUCAGGAGUUCGGAAACGAACAGAAAAUCUCUGAAAAAGAGAAAGUGGUCAAGAUAGAAAGGGCUGACGGUGG
rnacentral:misc_RNA from 1 species